rnacentral:rRNA from 1 species
UGGAAGUAAAAAGUCGUAACAAGGUCUCCGUAGGUGAACCUGCGGAGGGAUCAUUACUGAGUGAGGGCCUCCGGGUCCGACCUCCAACCCUUCUGUGAACCAAACUUGUUGCUUCGGGGGCGACCCCGCCGUUCGCGCGGCGGCGGCGCCCCCGGAGGCCAACCAAACACUGCGUAACCGAGCGUCGGAGUAUUGAUUAAAUCAAACAAAACUUUCAACAACGGAUCUCUUGGUUCUGGCAUCGAUGAAGAACGCAGCGAAAUGCGAUAAGUAAUGUGAAUUGCAGAAUUCAGUGAAUCAUCGAAUCUUUGAACGCACAUUGCGCCCCCUGGUAUUCCGGGGGGCAUGCCUGUUCGAGCGUCAUUACACCACUCAAGCCUGGCUUGGUAUUGGGCGUCGCGGGAGCAAUCCCGCGCGCCUUAAAGUCUCACCGGCUGAGCGGCUCUGUCUCUAAGCGUUGUGGCAACUAAUACGCGGCGGGAUCGGGCGGCGCGGCCGUUAAAUCUUUAUCUAAAGGUUGACCUCGG